rnacentral:hammerhead_ribozyme from 1 species
AUAGGCUGACGAGUCCCAUAUAAGACGAGACGCGCGUCCUGGAU